GAGGAACGCGGGCGGCGUGCCUAAUACAUGCAAGUCGAGCGAACAGACGAGGAGCUUGCUCCUCUGACGUUAGCGGCGGACGGGUGAGUAACACGUGGAUAACCUACCUAUAAGACUGGGAUAACUUCGGGAAACCGGAGCUAAUACCGGAUAAUAUAUUGAACCGCAUGGUUCAAUAGUGAAAGACGGUUUUGCUGUCACUUAUAGAUGGAUCCGCGCCGCAUUAGCUAGUUGGUAAGGUAACGGCUUACCAAGGCGACGAUGCGUAGCCGACCUGAGAGGGUGAUCGGCCACACUGGAACUGAGACACGGUCCAGACUCCUACGGGAGGCAGCAGUAGGGAAUCUUCCGCAAUGGGCGAAAGCCUGACGGAGCAACGCCGCGUGAGUGAUGAAGGUCUUCGGAUCGUAAAACUCUGUUAUUAGGGAAGAACAAAUGUGUAAGUAACUAUGCACGUCUUGACGGUACCUAAUCAGAAAGCCCCGGCUCCCUACGUU
rnacentral:rRNA from 1 species